GCUUGGGAGUCUUCUGCUGGAGGUUCCUUCACUGUGCAGGCUGACCAUGGUGAGCCCAUUGGCAGAGGUACCAAAGUGAUCCUCCAUCUUAAAGAAGAUCAGACAGAGUACUUAGAAGAGAGGCGGGUCAAAGAAGUAGUGAAGAAGCACUCUCAGUUCAUAGGCUAUCCCAUCACCCUUUAUUUGGAGAAGGAGCGAGAGAAGGAAAUUAGUGAUGAUGAGGCAGAGGAAGAGAAAGGUGAGAAAGAAGAGGAAGAUAAAGAUGAUGAAGAAAAGCCCAAGAUCGAAGAUGUGGGUUCAGAUGAGGAGGAUGACAGUGGUAAGGAUAAGAAGAAGAAAACUAAGAAGAUCAAAGAGAAAUACAUUGAUCAGGAAGAGCUAAACAAGACCAAGCCUAUUUGGACCAGAAACCCUGAUGACAUCACCCAAGAGGAGUAUGGAGAAUUCUACAAGAGCCUCACCAAUGACUGGGAAGACCACUUGGCAGUCAAGCACUUUUCUGUAGAAGGUCAGUUGUAAUUCAGGGCAUUGCUAUUCAUUCCUCGUCGGGCUCCCUUUGACCUUUUUGAAAACAAGAAGAAAAAGAACAACAUCAAACUCUAUGUCCGUCGUGUGUUCAUCAUGGACAGCUGUGAUGAGUUAAUACCAGAGUAUCUCAAUUUUAUUCGUGGUGUGGUUGACUCUGAGGAUCUGCCCCUGAACAUCUCCCGAGAAAUGCUCCAGCAGAGCAAAAUCUUGAAAGUCAUUCGUAAAAACAUUGUUAAGAAGUGUCUUGAGCUCUUCUCUGAGCUGGCAGAAGACAAGGAGAAUUACAAGAAAUUCUAUGAGGCAUUCUCUAAAAAUCUCAAGCUUGGAAUCCACGAGGACUCCACUAACCGCCGCCGCCUGUCUGAGCUGCUGCGCUAUCACACCUCCCAGUCUGGAGAUGAAAUGACAUCUUCGUCAGAGUAUGUUUCUCGCGUGAAGGAGACACAGAAGUCCAUCUAUUACAUCACUGGUGAGAGCAAAGAGCAGGUGGCCAACUCAGCUUUUGUGGAGCGAGUGCGGAAACGGGGCUUCGAGGUGGUAUAUAUGACCGAGCCCAUUGACGAGUACUGUGUGCAGCAGCUCAAGGAGUUUGAUGGGAAGAGCCUGGUCUCAGUUACCAAGGAGGGUCUGGAGCUGCCUGAGGAUGAGGAGGAGAAGAAAAAGAUGGAAGAGAGCAAGGCAAAGUUUGAGAACCUUUGCAAGCUCAUGAAAGAAAUCCUAGAUAAGAAGGUUGAGAAGGUGACAAUCUCCAAUAGGCUUGUGUCUUCACCCUGCUGCAUUGUGACCAGCACCUAUGGCUGGACAGUCAAUAUGGAGUGGAUCAUGAAAGCCCAGGCACUUCGGGACAACUCCACCAUGGGCUAUAUGAUGGCCAAAAAGCACCUGGAGAUCAACCCCGACCACCCCAUUGUGGAGACUCUGCGGCAGAUGGCUGAGGCCCACAAGAAUGAUAAGGCAGUUAAGGACCUGGUGGUGCUGCUGUUUGAAACCGCCCUGCUCUCUUCAGGCUUUUCCCUUGAGGAUCCCCAGACCCACUCCAACCGCAUCUACCGCAUGAUCAAGCUAGGUCUAGGUAUUGAUGAAGAUGAAGUGGCAGCAGAGGAACCCAGUGCUGCAGUUCCUGAUGAGAUCCCCCCUCUUGAGGGCGAUGAGGAUGCAUCUCGCAUGGAAGAAGUCGAUUAGGUUAGAAGUUCAUAGUUGGAAAACUUGUGCCCUUGUAUAGUGUCCCUGUGGCUCCCACUGCAGCCUCAAGUGCCCCUGUCCCACCUGGCUCCCCCUGCUGAUGUCUAGUGUUGUUUUUCCUCUCCUGUCCUUUUGUUGAAGGCAGGAAACCAAGGGUGUCAAGCCCCAUUCCCUCUCUACUCUGACAGCAGGAUUGGAUGUUGUGUGUUGUGGUUUAUUUUAUUUUCUUCAUUUUGUUCUGAAAUUAAAGUAUGCAAAAUAAAGAAUAUGCCGUUUUUAUACAAAAAAAAA